GUGUCAUCCCACCCCGCCCAGCGACACUGCAUCGGUGGAGAACAUUUCCCCACAAUCGACGUAGCCAACCCCGCUGGUGAUUGAGAUAGCCCCCGACUCGUUUUGCUUUAUGGCAGGAAUGCACGGAUCAUGGUAAAGACAGGUCUGAAAAAUAUGGGUUCGUUGAUGAGAUGGAUGCCUCUCACCUUUAGAGGGAAUGAGUCCUAAGAAGACCAACAUUAAACAGACAUUUGUUGGUAAAUAAAUCGGCAGCAGGACCAAGGAAUCACAGCAAGUGCUCCGGGAAGUAAUGUAAAAGUCUAUAUUCAAUGAUGAACGAAUUUCCAAACAUGCUAGUCGAUCGUACUAUACAGUGCAGCAUGAAUAAAAGUAAAACAAUAUAAAUAAACAGUAAUAAGCAAAAAGCUACCUAGUGAACGUGGAGCCAUUGUCAGUGCAACCUUUCUCUACUGCACACAGGAAGUAACAUAUAUACAUAUUAGUCAUUCAGAUUUAGAAACCAUGUUUUUUUCCGGAGUUUUCAAAUUAUCAGGUCCUUUCUUGAAUCAAGUCUACUGUGUAUUAUGGUAUAAAAAAUUGUUGGUACACUGGGAGAAUUCUAAAAACAUAUAUCUGACCGCAUGCCAAGGGGAUGACAAAUGUUUUUUCUUUUUUUCUAUUCCAAUUACAACUGUUUCAAUUUCCACACAAUGACUUGAAAUAAGAAAGAAUACCCAUGUCUUCUUGUACAAUCGUACUAAAAGUGAAAUCUUUGUACAUUCCCACAA